GAUGAACGCUGGCGGCGUGCCUAACACAUGCAAGUCGAACGGAGAUGCGAUGUGAGCGAGAGGUGCUUGCACUGAUUAAUCUUUUCGUAUCUUAGUGGCGGACGGGUGAGUAACGCGUGGGUAACCUGCCUUAUACCGGGGGAUAACACUUAGAAAUAGGUGCUAAUACCGCAUAAGCGCACGGUGUCGCAUGACACAGUGUGAAAAACUCCGGUGGUAUAAGAUGGACCCGCGUCUGAUUAGCCAGUUGGCAGGGUAACGGCCUACCAAAGCGACGAUCAGUAGGGGUUCUGAGAGGAAGGUCCCCCACAUUGGAACUGAGACACGGUCCAAACUCCUACGGGAGGCAGCAGUGAGGAAUAUUGGGUCAAUGGACGAGAGUCUGAACCAGCCAAGUAGCGUGAAGGAUGAAGGUCCUACGGAUUGUAAACUUCUUUU
rnacentral:rRNA from 1 species